UUUCCGGUGCGCGCGCAGUGAGUGGAUCGCCAGAUGUAAGCUGCAAGUUUUCAUGUGGAGCUAACUACACCCCAAAGGCUAUUUUAAUAGCCACAGCACUGAGCAUCUUUGGCUUGGCUUUGAGCCAACUACACCCCAAAGACUCUAUUAGGGGCCACCUUAGAAUCACGGCACCUUUGGCUUU